rnacentral:rRNA from 1 species
AGUAAAAGUCGUAACAAGGUCUCCGUUGGUGAACCAGCGGAGGGAUCAUUACAGAGUUGCAAAACUCCCACAAACCAUCGCGAAUCUUACCCGUACGGUUGCCUCGGCGCUGGCGGUCCGGAAAGGCCCUCGGGCCCUCCCAGAUCCUCGGGUCUCCCGCUCGCGGGAGGCUGCCCGCCGGAGUGCCGAAACUAAACUCUUGAUAUUUUAUGUCUCUCUGAGUAAACUUUUAAAUAAGUCAAAACUUUCAACAACGGAUCUCUUGGUUCUGGCAUCGAUGAAGAACGCAGCGAAAUGCGAUAAGUAAUGUGAAUUGCAGAAUUCAGUGAAUCAUCGAAUCUUUGAACGCACAUUGCGCUCGCCAGUAUUCUGGCGAGCAUGCCUGUUCGAGCGUCAUUUCAACCAUCAAGCUCUGCUUGCGUUGGGGAUCCGCGGCUGCCCGCGGUCCCUCAAAAUCAGUGGCGGGCUCGCUAGUCACACCGAGCGUAGUGACUCUACAUCGCUAUGGUCGUGCGGCGGGUUCUUGCCGUAAAACCCCCCAUUUCUAAGGUUGACCUCGGAUCAGGUAGGAAUACCCGCUGAACUUAAGCAUAUCAAUAAGCGGAGGAAAAGAAACCAACAGGGAUUGCCCCGUAACG